rnacentral:rRNA from 1 species
GACAGAGGUGCCGAGCGUUAGGCGGAAUCACUGGGCUUAAAGGGCGCGUAGGCGGGCCGUCAAGUCGAGGGUGAAAGCCCCCAGCUCAACUGGGGAAGUGCCUCCGAUACUGGCGGUCUCGAGGGGGAUAGGGGCGUGCGGAACUUCCGGUGGAGCGGUGAAAUGCGUAGAUAUCGGAAGGAACACCGGUGGCGAAAGCGGCGCGCUGGAUCCCUACUGACGCUGAGGCGCGAAAGCCAGGGGAGCGAACGGG